rnacentral:sRNA from 1 species
ACACGAGAGAGGAGGUGGUCCAAAGUUGUAUACCAACAGGACACGUGAGGUGGCUGUCCGCUAAGGACCACCACAGGCUCCAGCCGGCCGGCGAACACGGCAGACGCUGGUCUUCCAGCGCCGUUGACGCGGGCGUGUGGUCGGCGAAUCCACAACAGCCACCGGCCCUCGGGGUUUCCGGGAGAAGUCCAAUCCCGGACCUUGUGCACCAGCACAAGGAGUCACCCCGGGGGUUUCUCAC